GGCGCGUUCGUCUAGCGGUUAGGACGUGGCCCUCUCAAGGCCAAAACACGGGUUCAAUUCCCGUACGCGCUA
rnacentral:tRNA from 1 species